GGAAAACCACAGCCAGCACAGCAACCGCCCGCAGCCCGCCCAGCUGCUGGCACUCAGUUACGGAGCUGGUGUUAGCUCCAGGUGUAGCUAAAGCCUGAGAUUAUGCCGUUACGCAGCAAAGGGUGCUGUGAAACACGGUGGAGCAGAAGGACUUAAAAGGAGCUGGUGCAAGGCAGGAAAGAGCCUGGGAAAGUGAGGAUGUGGGGCUGGUGGCUUGGUGCAGUUCCAACCACAAUCAGUGCAUAAACCUACCUACAACCCAGGAUGUUGGAAAAUUACCGAGAAACAGCCCCAUCCUCCCAGCUGCUUGGUGAGAAGGGAAGGAUGCACCUUCAGUUCAAAUACUGGGCUUGGUGACCCACCUUCCAGGAUCCCCAAUGCUGUGUCCAGUGUGCCUCCCAGUCCCUACAGACCACUAGGCGACAUUCAUGACUUUAGCAGGAACCAGCAGCAACAUACAGGCACAAAGGUGGGCCAAGUGACCAGGCACAGACAGCCAGAAGCCCAGAAGCAAAUGGAGAUGGAGACCAGUGUCGCAAUGGGCAGCAAAAAGAAAACAAGGAGAUGUACUGUAAAAAAUGCCACAGGCCUGAUCAUGCAGGACCACGCUCAGCCACCCAGACCUUGGUAGGAGUACCUGGCCCGUGGCUGCUGAGCACCUUGGGCACCGAGGUCCACUUUUGCCACGGAGACUUCCCCACCAGCUCCAAGCCAUGAGGAAAAGAGAGAGGAGAGAAAAGCUGCCGAAGAAACACUAACCCACAUCCUCCCGGCCCCCACCCCAUGCCCCACUUCCAGUAGACCAGGGAACCCCU
ensembl:lncRNA